GCAAGCGUUAAUCGGAAUUACUGGGCGUAAAGCGCACGCAGGCGGUCUGUCAAGUCGGAUGUGAAAUCCCCGGGCUCAACCUGGGAACUGCAUCCGAAACUGGCAGGCUAGAGUCUUGUAGAGGGGGGUAGAAUUCCAGGUGUAGCGGUGAAAUGCGUAGAGAUCUGGAGGAAUACCGGUGGCGAAGGCGGCCCCCUGGACAAAGACUGACGCUCAGGUGCGAAAGCGUGGGGAGCAAACAGAAUUAGAUACCCUGGUAGUCCACGCCGUAAACGAUGUCGACUUGGAGGUUGUGCCCUUGAGGCGUGGCUUCCGGAGCUAACGCGUUAAGUCGACCGCCUGGGGAGUACGGCCGCAAGGUUAAAACUCAAAUGAAUUGACGGGGGCCCGCACAAGCGGUGGAGCAUGUGGUUUAGUUCGAUGCAACGCGAAGAACCUUACCUACUCUUGACAUCCAGAGAACUUAGCAGAGAUGCUUUGGUGCCUUCGGGAACUCUGAGACAGGUGCUGCAUGGCUGUCGUCAGCUCGUGUUGUGAAAUGUUGGGUUAAGUCCCGCAACGAGCGCAACCCUUAUCCUUUGUUGCCAGCGGUUAGGCCGGGAACUCAAAGGAGACUGCCAGUGAUAAACUGGAGGAAGGUGGGGAUGACGUCAAGUCAUCAUGGCCCUUACGAGUAGGGCUACACACGUGCUACAAUGGCAUAUACAAAGAGAAGCGACCUCGCGAGAGCAAGCGGACCUCAUAAAGUAUGUCGUAGUCCGGAUUGGAGUCUGCAACUCGACUCCAUGAAGUCGGAAUCGCUAGUAAUCGUGGAUCAAAAUGCCACGGUGAAUACGUUCCCGGGCCUUGUACACACCGCCCGUCACACCAUGGGAGUGGGUUGCAAAAGAAGUAGGUAGCUUAACC
rnacentral:rRNA from 1 species